AGUUCAAUACAUCUACCAAAAGGGUCCCGCAACCUUUGAACGAGCACAGGAGUCAUGCAUCAAGCUUGGUGCCAUUCUGGUGUCAUUCCGCAAUGACCUGGAAUACCAAGCGGUUCUUUAUGAGAUCUCCAAAAAUAAUGAAGGAGCCAUCGUAGACACCUGGAUUGGAAUCAAAGACACCAUCCAGGAGCGUACCUUCGUUUGGACUGAUGGCACACCCUAUGACCCUAUUGCCUUUCGUCUCUUUCGUGUCAAAGACAAUACUAAUUCCGUGUACAUUGGAACUGAUGAAAUGGGGCACGCUAGCGAAGGCUAUGUCCAGAGACCAUUUGUUUGCGCCAAAGAUAAAUAGUCUCAUCGACGACAGCGGCCCCUAACCAUACCAGACAUGAGCAAACUAUGACUCUGCAUGUCAUAUAUUGGCCAAUAAGCGUUUCAAUCUGUCCCACGGAACGCUUCCAAAUUCGCUUUUACCGCCUUCAUCAUUCAAUGCUAUUGAAUAAAUGGUUUCUGAAGCUGAAGCGCGGCGGCUGGGGUCUGCAGACUAGCGUGGUGGAGGACAGAAAAACAAGAUUUCUGCGACAAAGUUCUGUAGAAAAUGUCCAUUUUAUGUGACAUUUAUGCGUUUGUUUUCUUGUUUGGCUGUGUUGUUUGUCACAUUUUUGCUGUGUUUGUGCUUGAUGGCAAAACAUGUCUAGGAGGUCGUCGCUUGGGCAUUCAGAUACUCUUGAUGUUCAAUGUUUUAUUGUUCAUCUACACUCUGGCUGUCUUAUUCAA